GUGCUCACUUUGGCAUCACAUAUAUUAAAAUUGAAUGAUACAGAGACUAGCAUGGACCCUGCACAAAGAUGACAUGCAAACUCAUGAAGCAUUCCACAUUUUU
ensembl:snRNA U6 U6 spliceosomal RNA